UUGCCAGCAUUUAGGUUGGGCACUCGUAAGGGGACUGCCGGUGAUAAGCCGAGAGGAAGGUGGGGAUGACGUCAAGUCCUCAUGGCCCUUACGGGCUGGGCUACACACGUGCUACAAUGGUGGUGACAGUGGGCAGCGAGCACGCGAGUGUGAGCUAAUCUCCAAAAGCCAUCUCAGUUCGGAUUGCACUCUGCAACUCGAGUGCAUGAAGUUGGAAUCGCUAGUAAUCGCGGAUCAGCAUGCCGCGGUGAAUACGUUCCCGGGCCUU
rnacentral:rRNA from 1 species